AGAACCUGAAACCGUGUACGUACAAGCAGUAGGAGCACCUUCGUGGUGUGACUGCGUACCUUUUGUAUAAUGGGUCAGCGACUUAUAUUCAGUGGCAAGGUUAACCGUAUAGGGGAGCCGUAGCGAAAGCGAGUCUUAACUGGGCGCUCAGUCUCUGGAUAUAGACCCGAAACCGGGUGAUCUAGCCAUGGGCAGGUUGAAGGUUGAGUAACAUCAACUGGAGGACCGAACCGACUAAUGUUGAAAAAUUAGCGGAUGACUUGUGGCUAGGGGUGAAAGGCCAAUCAAACUCGGAGAUAGCUGGUUCUCCCCGAAAGCUAUUUAGGUAGCGCCUCGGACGAAUACUACUGGGGGUAGAGCACUGUUAAGGCUAGGGGGUCAUCCCGACUUACCAACCCUUUGCAAACUCCGAAUACCAGUAAGUACUAUCCGGGAGACACACGGCGGGUGCUAACGUCCGUCGUGGAGAGGGAAACAACCCAGACCGCCAGCUAAGGUCCCAAAGUAUUGCUAAGUGGGAAACGAUGUGGGAAGGCUCAGACAGCUAGGAUGUUGGCUUAGAAGCAGCCAUCAUUUAAAGAAAGCGUAAUAGCUCACUAGUCGAGUCGGCCUGCGCGGAAGAUGUAACGGGGCUAAGCAAUACACCGAAGCUGCGGCAAUGUCUUUUAGACAUUGGGUAGGGGAGCGUUCUGUAAGCCGUUGAAGGUGAAUCGUAAGGUUUGCUGGAGGUAUCAGAAGUGCGAAUGCUGACAUGAGUAACGACAAAGGGGGUGAAAAACCUCCUCGCCGGAAGACCAAGGGUUCCUGUCCAACGUUAAUCGGGGCAGGGUGAGUCGACCCCUAAGGUGAGGCCGAAAGGCGUAAUCGAUGGGAAACGGGUUAAUAUUCCCGUACUUCUGACUAUUGCGAUGGGGGGACGGAGAAGGCUAGGUGGGCCAGGCGACGGUUGUCCUGGUUCAAGUGCGUAGGCUUGAGAGUUAGGUAAAUCCGGCUCUCUCUAAGGCUGAGACACGACGUCGAGCUACUACGGUAGUGAAGUCAUUGAUGCCAUGCUUCCAGGAAAAGCCUCUAAGCUUCAGAUAGUCAGGAAUCGUACCCCAAACCGACACAGGUGGUCGGGUAGAGAAUACCAAGGCGCUUGAGAGAACUCGGGUGAAGGAACUAGGCAAAAUGGUACCGUAACUUCGGGAGAAGGUACGCUCUUGAUGGUGAAGUCCCUCGCGGAUGGAGCUGACGAGAGUCGCAGAUACCAGGUGGCUGCAACUGUUUAUUAAAAACACAGCACUGUGCAAAAUCGCAAGAUGACGUAUACGGUGUGACGCCUGCCCGGUGCCGGAAGGUUAAUUGAUGGGGUUAGCGCAAGCGAAGCUCUUGAUCGAAGCCCCGGUAAACGGCGGCCGUAACUAUAACGGUCCUAAGGUAGCGAAAUUCCUUGUCGGGUAAGUUCCGACCUGCACGAAUGGCGUAAUGAUGGCCACGCUGUCUCCACCCGAGACUCAGUGAAAUUGAAAUCGCUGUGAAGAUGCAGUGUACCCGCGGCUAGACGGAAAGACCCCGUGAACCUUUACUACAGCUUGGCACUGAACAUUGAACCUACAUGUGUAGGAUAGGUGGGAGGCUAUGAAGACGUGACGCCAGUUGCGUUGGAGCCGUCCUUGAAAUACCACCCUUGUAUGUUUGAUGUUCUAACUUAGACCCAUUAUCU
rnacentral:rRNA from 1 species